rnacentral:rRNA from 1 species
UGACCUCGGGUCAGGUAGGGAUACCCGCUGAACUUAAGCAUAUCAAUAAGCGGAGGAAAAGAAACCAACAGGGAUUGCCUCAGUAACGGCGAG